GGAAGAACCAACUGACCAGAAGAUGGCGACCAUGAGUCGCUAAGUGAAAUUCCGAACCAACGUGUUUGUCUCUGACUCAUUGCCUUGGAUGCUAUUCUUUGACCAGCAUGAUUGCAGUCAUGAGGCCCGUGUGCCUCUCUCUUCUCAGUGGUCCCUGGGUGGAAUGCUUCAGGGACAGGACGCAGACUGCAGCCUCCUGAUGCUGAUGGUCUUGGCCAGGGCUCGUUUGGAGAAGAGACUGUGUCUCAUGUGACUACCCUGGUUAAAUAAAGGAUGAAUAAAGAAAUAAAAUAAAAUGAAUGUUAACACAGCGUUUCACAGAUAUCUUAAUACCGUAACCUGCAUCAUCCUAAAACUCCACACGUCACAGGUGUAGAGGUGCUGGCACCGACAGGGUUAAUCCCAUUGAAACUACUCAACUGGGAAUAAAAGAAGGACAGAAAAGUUCCCACACUUUCCCACACCGUUUUGUUUUUUUUCUCCUUCCUUUCUCUCUUGGCUGAAUGGUGCCAAGAUUGGCUGAUGUAAAACCGAAUGCAGUGAAGAAAAAAAAAAAUGAAGAGGGGUGGGUUGGGGUUGGAGUUAGGAGGAGGUGGAGGGAGGGAGGGAGAAGAUGAACAAGAAAGAAAACCAACACACUUGACUUCUGUAACUCACCUGUUGGUGAGAGUUUUUGUUUUGUAUUCAUUAACAGGGCAGGUUUGCAUGGCCCCUCCCUGAGGUAGCGAAAGGUUCCCAGGUAGCAAGAGCAAAGGAGAGGAGCACGAGGGGAGGAGAGUUCCCACCACGCUUCCUUGCCGUUCUCACAGGAGCCCAUUGGUUGGAUCUUGCCUCAUCGCUGUAAC